rnacentral:misc_RNA from 1 species
UCUCCGUAGGUGAACCUGCGGAGGGAUCACUACAGGCUUGCAAAAGCUCUGAAACCACUGUUUAUCUACCUGAAUCUGCUUCGGCGGGCGGCCCCAGGGCGGGGCCGUAGCCGCAAGGCGCCCGCCGAGGACCCCUAAACUCUGCCGUCUUGAGAAUCUCUGAGUAUCAUAUUAAACAGAAAACAACUUUCAACAACGGAUCUCUUGGCUCUG